UUAGAUUGAGAAUCUCCAUGCUUCAAGCAGUUGCCCAGGUGAUUCUAUGGUCACACAAAGAGACUGUGUGGUAACCACACACAAUGUUCUAUGCUUCAAUGCUUAAGUGGACUUUUAGUGUGACCCCACUCAGCCUACUCCCCCACCCCCUUUAAAAUCCCUGUCACAAGGAGGGGAGCGCCAACAUCCCAGCUGCAAGUCUCUCAUUUAAGGUUCUUGCUGCAGCCAGCAGUGUCCUUGGAGUCUAGUUCAAAGCUGUGAGAGUGAACCGUGGAUCCGGGAGCCAUUGGUGGAGGGGCUAGCCUAAAGGAAGUGAAGUGUUUCAGCCAGAAUGUACUGACGCACGACUAGGAAACCACAAGACUGGUGAAAACCUUUCCAAGCCUGAGACCUAUGAUCAAAAGAGGUACAGGAAGCAGCUCUGCCAAGAGUCCUUUCUGCAGCUGGCUGGAACCCCAAACUUCUGGGGCUCUCUGCGUCAACUCCCUGAACAGAUGCGGUCACCCAAGGAGCCAUGGCUAAAGCAUUUUCUUACCUUGCUCUGUGGUGACUCCGUUGGAGUCACAGAUUACUGACCUUUUACACUUUGCCACUGCCUAUUGUUUGGUGCUCAGGGCCUGUGUACAAGCAACAUGUCCUCCAACUCUUAACAAUACCGAGAUUAUGAAGUCAGCAUAUUUCAAUCACCUGGACUUCAACGAAAAUGACUUCCUUUAUUGAUUGAGUCAUAACCAUCUUCCCUUCUCCCAGGCUAAUCUUUCUUUUGUUCCUUGUGAGAAUAGACUCAACCAGGAAUUGUAUUCAGAUCCCUGUAACAAAUACAGAUCAUGUCUGGAUAUAUAAGGUCAAAAUAAUUGUGUUCUUGUGAAUUCUCUUUCCUUGGCCAGAGUAACUGCCAGCUGCCAUGUAAUAAAUCACAUCAUCAUAUUGCAGAUCCAGUAAAUAGCUGAGACUAGCAGGAUAACUGAACUAUGUCUUGAGAGCUAAGUGACAGAGAAAUUGGACAGACUAUGGGGCACUUUAAAUUGAUUACUAAGUAAUGGGGUAUUUUUCCUGGAGAGACAACAGAAUCAUUCUGAAAUAUUGAUUCUGUCAUGGGUACAGUCUCCCAUGUAGAGGAAAAUAAGCAAAUGUGAUGAAUUUU